UACGUAGGGAGCAAGCGUUGUCCGGAAUCAUUGGGCGUAAAGCGCGCGUAGGUGGCUUCGUAAGUCCGCUGUGAAAGUCCAGGGCUCAACCCUGGGAUGCCGGUGGAUACUGUCGGGCUCGAGUCCGGAAGAGGCGAGUGGAAUUCCUGGUGUAGCGGUGAAAUGCGCAGAUAUCAGGAGGAACACCAAUGGCGAAGGCAGCUCGCUGGGACGUGACUGACGCUGAGACGCGAAAGCGUGGGGAGCAAACAGG
rnacentral:rRNA from 1 species